UUGUUAUUUCUUACUGUUUGUAAGCCGCUUUGAGAUCCAUUUGAAUGAAAAGCUAAACAAUACAUUAAAUUGAAUCAAACCCCACCUCUUACAAAAAAUGUACAAGGCAAAAAAAUGCUGAAUUCUCAGCGCCACUUGGCGCCUCAUAGACUGAGGCGGGCAUGCCCCCUUGUGCCCCGCCCCCGAGCUGUGUCGGCUGAGGGACGCACUGGCUCACUGCGUCUGCCCCUUUGUGUCAGGGAGAGCCAGGUUCCGAGCUGCCUCUAGAACAGGCGCCCCAUUGUGAGGACGAUGAGGAGGAGACGUGACCAGGACAAGCAGCUGAGCAUUUCCGUCUUGUCCCACCACCCCUUGUAGCUGCUUGCUGGCUCCAUGCGCCCCUCCUUUCAUGUGCUAACAUCUGCAGCAGGGAUUCCAUGAACUUCGCCCUUCAGAAGUGCCCUGAAUGGGAACACUGACUUCACCCGCUCUCAGAAAAACAAAGGCAAAGAAGAAAUAACACAGGGACCUGAAACCUCAUCCCUCAGCUAGAAACCUUAUCCAGCAGCCAUUCUUGUUUCUGAGAUUUUGGCAGACACUGAUUGCACCGUGCCAACAUUAUUUUCAUACUCAUGAGGUCUAAAAACUUUUUUUUUAUAAAGGAAACCUAUGUUUUUUGGAAGCCCUCCUAUCUUAUUUUACUCCUCAGAUUAAGAACAUAACCAAUAAAGACCUCGUCCUCCAUUUA